UACGGAGGGGGCUAGCGUUGUUCGGAAUUACUGGGCGUAAAGCGCGCGUAGGCGGAUCUGCAAGUCGGGGGUGAAAUCCCGAGGCUCAACCUCGGAACUGCCUUCGAUACUGCGGGUCUCGAGUCCGGGAGAGGUGAGUGGAAUUCCUAGUGUAGAGGUGAAAUUCGUAGAUAUUAGGAAGAACACCAGUGGCGAAGGCGGCUCACUGGCCCGGUACUGACGCUGAGGCGGCGAAAAGCGUGGGGAGCAAACACGGG
rnacentral:rRNA from 1 species